GAGACGGUGACGUUUAGCAAAUCCCAGAAAUAAACGUCCCAGUUCGGAUUGUAGUCUGCAACCCGACUACAUGAAGCUGGAAUCGCUAGUAAUCGCGAAUCAGAAUGUCGCGGUGAAUACGUUCCCGGGUCUUGUACACACCGCCCGUCACACCAUGAGAGUUGGAGAUACCCGAAGCCUAUGAGCUAACUUUUAGAGGCAGUAGUCGAAGGUAGAAUCAAUGAUUGGGGUGAAGUCGUAACAAGGUAGC
rnacentral:rRNA from 1 species